rnacentral:rRNA from 1 species
CUCGUAGGCGGUUCGUCGCGUCCGGUGUGAAAGUCCAUCGCUUAACGGUGGAUCCGCGCCGGGUACGGGCGGGCUUGAGUGCGGUAGGGGAGACUGGAAUUCCCGGUGUAACGGUGGAAUGUGUAGAUAUCGGGAAGAACACCAAUGGCGAAGGCAGGUCUCUGGGCCGUUACUGACGCUGAGGAGCGAAAGCGUGGGGAACGAACA